rnacentral:rRNA from 1 species
UACGAAGGGGGCUAGCGUUGCUCGGAAUCACUGGGCGUAAAGGGUGCGUAGGCGGGUCUUUAAGUCAGGGGUGAAAUCCUGGAGCUCAACUCCAGAACUGCCUUUGAUACUGAAGAUCUUGAGUUCGGGAGAGGUGAGUGGAACUGCGAGUGUAGAGGUGAAAUUCGUAGAUAUUCGCAAGAGCACCAGUGGCGAAGGCGGCUCACUGGCCCGAUACUGACGCUGAUGCACGAAAGCGUGGGGAGCGAACAGG